GACGAACGCUGGCGGUGUGCUUCAAACAUGCAAGUCGAGGGAGGGUUGGCGAGUGGCUUGCCAUUCGUUCAACUCUACCGGCGAACGGGUGAGUAACACGUGGGCAAUCUGCCCUGAAGACGGGGACAACCUCGGGAAACCGGGCUAAUACCCGACAUCCUCCACGGGGGGCAUCCUCUGAGGAGGAAAAGGUACCGCAAGGUCUGCUUCAGGAUGAGCCCGCGGCCUAUCAGCUAGUUGGGGGGUAACGGGCCUACCAAGGCUAUGACGGGUAGCUGGUCUGAGAGGACGAUCAGCCACACUGGGACUGAGACACGGCCCAGACUCCUACGGGGAGGCAGCAGUUGGGAAUUUUGGGCAAUGGGCGCAAGCCUGACCCAGCGACACCGC
rnacentral:rRNA from 1 species